rnacentral:rRNA from 1 species
AGAGUUUGAUCCUGGCUCAGGAUGAACGCUGGCGGCGUGCUUAACACAUGCAAGUCGAGCGAAGCAGUUAAGUUGAUUUCUUCGGAUUGAUUCUUGACUGACUGAGCGGCGGACGGGUGAGUAACGCGUGGGUGACCUGCCCCAUACCGGGGGAUAACAGCUGGAAACGGCUGCUAAUACCGCAUAAGCGCACAGAGCUGCAUGGCUCGGUGUGAAAAACUCCGGUGGUAUGGGAUGGGCCCGCGUCUGAUUAGGCAGUUGGCGGGGAAACGGCCCACCAAACCGACGAUCAGUAGCCGGCCUGAGAGGGCGACCGGCCACAUUGGGACUGAGAAACGGCCCAAACUCCUACGGGAGGCAGCAGUGGGGAAUAUUGCACAAUGGGGGAAACCCUGAUGCAGCGACGCCGCGUGAGCGAAGAAGUAUUUCGGUAUGUAAAGCUCUAUCAGCAGGGAAGAUAAUGACGGUACCUGACUAAGAAGCCCCGGCUAACUACGUGCCAGCAGCCGCGGUAAUACGUAGGGGGCAAGCGUUAUCCGGAUUUACUGGGUGUAAAGGGAGCGUAGACGGCAAGGCAAGUCUGAUGUGAAAACCCAGGGCUUAACCCUGGGACUGCAUUGGAAACUGUCUGGCUCGAGUGCCGGAGAGGUAAGCGGAAUUCCUAGUGUAGCGGUGAAAUGCGUAGAUAUUAGGAAGAACACCAGUGGCGAAGGCGGCUUACUGGACGGUAACUGACGUUGAGGCUCGAAAGCGUGGGGAGCAAACAGAAUUAGAUACCCUGGUAGUCCACGCCGUAAACGAUGAAUGCUAGGUGUUGGGG